rnacentral:rRNA from 1 species
GGACGAACGCUGGCGGCGUGCUUAGCCCAUGCAAGUCGAACGGAAAGGCCCUGCUUUUGUGGGGUGCUCGAGUGGCGAACGGGUGAGUAACACGUGAGUAACCUGCCCUUGACUUUGGGAUAACUUCAGGAAACUGGGGCUAAUACCGGAUAGGAGCUCCUGCUGCAUGGUGGGGGUUGGAAAGUUUCGGCGGUUGGGGAUGGACUCGCGGCUUAUCAGCUUGUUGGUGGGGUAGUGGCUUACCAAGGCUUUGACGGGUAGCCGGCCUGAGAGGGUGACCGGCCACAUUGGGACUGAGAUACGGCCCAGACUCCUACGGGAGGCAGCAGUGGGGAAUAUUGCACAAUGGGCGGAAGCCUGAUGCAGCAACGCCGCGUGCGGGAUGACGGCCUUCGGGUUGUAAACCGCUUUCGCCUGUGACGAAGCGUGAGUGACGGUAAUGGGUAAAGAAGCACCGGCUAACUACGUG